UGAAUCUCAGUAGCACUGACAGAGCCAAAAGAGCUUGUUCUAGCCUAUCUCCCAAACAGGGUAGGCAAGACAAAAGGACUCUCCAAGCCCUCUACUUCCUCAAGAAGAUUGGCUUGACUGAGGAUGACAAGUACAGACUGGUCCAAGUGAACUGACCAGUCACAUCACUUGAGAUGGAUGGAUCAAACCACUGUGUCACCUUGAUGAUGGGAUAGAGGACAUGGUCAUUGGUAGCCAUUCAACUUUACUCAACUACUUGGGCUUAAAUCCCAGGAAAACCUCCACAGUUGCCAUAGAAAUUCACCAUCUUCCAUAUCUUCAGUGUGAUUUCAAUGUACAGUGUUAUGUGUAUGGGCACACUAUAUCCCAAUGAUUACAGAGACUGCCAGAUGACUGUCUUCUUUCCCUGUAUAGUUUUCAAGCAGCUGAUCAGCAAUGGCUACAGUCAAAAUCUUGAUAAAGCAAAAAAUGUCAGCCCUCCCUAUAUAAAGUAAAAAGUUCAAUCCAUAUUGGAAGCCUACAAUUCUACAGAGCCCUUCUGGAAACCUUUAUAUACGAGGGCUAUGUGAAGCUUCAGGUGCUGAUUUGAUUUGGA